rnacentral:rRNA from 1 species
AGCGUUGAAAAGCUAUGGGAUGACUUGUGGAUAGGGGUGAAAGGCCAAUCAAACAUCGUGAUAGCUGGUUCUCUCCGAAAUAUAUUUAGGUAUAGCGUCAUGUAGUAACACUAGGGGGUAGAGCACUGAAUGGGCUAGGGCAUACACCAAUGUACCAAACCCUAUCAAACUCCGAAUACCUAGUGUGUAAUCAUGGCAGUCAGGCGGCGAGUGAUAAAAUCCGUCGUCGAGAGGGGAACAACCCAGACUAACAGCUAAGGUCCCUAAAUCUCAUUUAAGUGGAAAACGAUGUGGAGUUACUUAAACAACCAGGAGGUUGGCUUAGAAGCAGCCAUCCUUUAAAGAAAGCGUAAUAGCUCACUGGUCUAGUGAUUCUGCGCGGAAAAUAUAACGGGGCUAAAAUGAGUACCGAAGCUUUAGACUUAGUUUUACUAAGUGGUAGGAGAGCGUUGUAUUUGCGUUGAAGGUAUACCGGUAAGGAGUGCUGGAGCGAAUACAAGUGAGCAUGCAGGCAUGAGUAGCGAUAAUUGGGGUGAGAAUCCCCAACGCCGUAAACCCAAGGUUUCCUACGCGAUGCUCGUCAUCGUAGGGUUAGCCGGGUCCUAAGCAAAGUCCGAAAGGGGUAUGCGAUGGAAAAUUGGUUAAUAUUCCAAUGCCAACUAUAAUGUGCGAUGGAAGGACGCUUAGAGUUAGAGGAGCCAGCGGAUGGUAGUGCUGGUCGAAAGGUGCAGGUUGGAGUUCAGGCAAAUCCGAACUCCUUUAAGCCGAGGCCUUACAGGUGCGUGAAGUUCUUCGGAAUGAAUCGUAAAUCCUUGAUACUGUCGAGCCAAGAAAAGUUUCUAAGUUUAGUUAUAGUUGCCCGUACCGUAAACCGACACAGGUGGGUGGGAUGAGUAUUCUAAGGCGCGUGGAAGAACUCUCUUCAAGGAACUCUGCAAAAUAGCACCGUAUCUUCGGUAUAAGGUGUGCCUAACUUUGUGAAGGAUUUACUCCGUAAGCAUUGAAGGUUACAACAAAGAGUCCCUCCCGACUGUUUACCAAAAACACAGCACUCUGCUAACUCGUAAGAGGAUGUAUAGGGUGUGACGCCUGCCCGGUGCUCGAAGGUUAAUUGAUGACGUUAGCUCUGCGAAGCGUUUGAUCGAAGCCCGAGUAAACGGCGGCCGUAACUAUAACGGUCCUAAGGUAGCGAAAUUCCUUGUCGG